UAGCUUUCCAAGGGGAGUACUUCAAAGGUGACCGUAGAAUAUCAGCAAUAAGCUUGUCAUGCUCUCCCCUUCCCCACAGUUGGUUGAAAGAAGAUGAUGGCCAUGGCCAGUAGUGGUUUUGAUGGAUGGUGCAUUAGCUUUUCCCACAUGUGGAUAACCCCUUGGAGAUGCCUGUACUGCACAACGCCGCCAGGUGAACCCUGUACAUCCCCUUGCUCUUCCAGAGAGGCCUCUUAGGCUUGGCACACCAGCUCACCUUUCCUUCUAAAGUCUUCAGCUCCCUCUGGGCCCAUGUGAACUUAAGAAUCUGUGCUGAAGGAACCAGCAGAGGAAGCCCAGGGGCCAGGAUAAGUUAGAAGCUGGAACUUUGGAGAGCCUACCUUAGGGAAGCUGGAACCAUCAGGGACACAGCUGCUGUCGGAGAUGUUGGUGAAGGCAGAGGGAGAAGGGGAAGAAGUACUCUGGCUUCUGGCGUCCUUCUGACUUCCAGUCUUCUGCCAGUGCCUCUCGUUGACUGAAUGCAGCAGAGAUUCGGGAGCUGAGGACCCAGUCUGAGUGGCAGCCUCACUGGAGAGAGAGAGGGAUCACUGGCUCUCUAUGAAAGAUUUUUCAUGGAAAAAACUACUCUUCUGGACUAUCUUUUCACAAAACUGGUAUUUCUGCCCCUCAGAGUAUGGAACCAGUUCAACUUAUAGAAUACUUAUCUAGACAGGUUCUCUUGGACCCGUGUGUCUUGUGCGCAGAAGACAAUCACACAUAAUCAGGGCCUUGCUCUGCAAGUCAGUAUCAGUGGCCGGUUGGAAGAGAGAGAGAAGGGGAAAGAUGUUUGAAAUGACAUACCUUGCACUUAAAUUUGUUUGGGAGUCUGGGCAACAGUGCUGACUGGUCCUCACUCGGGUCUGCAGGUGUCCAGAGAAACUCCUCUGGGUCUUUGGUGGCCAUUGUCCUGUAAGCAUGGCUUCAUAUGAUAAAAUGAAAUUCCUUUUCACCACCAAUGUUGGAAGCUGGAACUGGAGUUACCAUCCCUUCGUGAUCAAAAAAGGAGCUGUUUUACUUCCAUUUCUUGGGGCUUGGGGCAAGAUAUGUUACUGGGGGAUUUGCCUUUGGUCUCGGCACCCUCAGGGAUUCCAUCUGUACGCUCCUCAAAGUAAGGGCUACAUCAUUCAGCUUUUAUUGUAUUCACCCCUAACGCAUGUGCAAGGAAGCCAGUGUUCAAUAAAG